GGUUCACAAGCUGAUGGUAAAAGUCUACACGGGGGCUGUAGGUUUUUGUCCUGGGAAGCUGUAAAUUCCUGGAAAAGUUGACUUUGCUGCUAAGAUCUGCAGAUCCAUAGUGUUGAUUCAGUGAGUCCCUGAGAAUGAACUGACAAUAUCUAUAUAUGAUGAAGAACUGAAGAGAUAUUGGAACUUAGUUAUUGGAAGUGGCAUUUAGGAUUUAUUUGAAUUUACCUCCAGCCGAGGAACAUUAGAGUUUGGAAAUGGCUGAAUCCUACCACAAGCACCGCCGUCAGCUGAUUGAGUCUGGUUAUUGGCCCGAGUGUUGCACUAUCCAUCUUGAGGAGCUGUGUUUUCCAGGCUGGGGUCCUACCUGUUUUUCUUUCUUCCAAAAAUGCUUACAAAAUGUUACAAACGCUGCAUUGCGCUUUUUUGGUAAAGAACAGGCCAUGGCUGGAUGUUAGCUGCACGUCAAUAAGGAAUCAUGAAAUGCCAUGAUUAGUUAAAGGUAUUGUCUUUUUUCACUCGUUUUUAUUUAUUUAUUGGCUCAGUGUGGUAUUUGGGCUCAGUGUGGUAUUUUCAGAAUUGUAACAUACUGAGACUGGCAUUUUUUUUCUAUGAAAUCCUGCCAUUUCUCUCCCAUAGAUGUAAUGCAAAAACGCCAUUAAAAACGGAGUUUGUCUAGGCGUUUUUUUAAGGUGUUUUUAACAUUUAUCUAUUUGUUUAUAUUUUGUUAAUGUGUUAAAAAAAAAAGAAGUUGACACUGGAACAGGGAAAGCUGCCAAAGGAGAAAAAAAACGCAAUUUUCACACAAAGGCAAAAAUUCAAGAAAACGCAGUGGCAGUUUUUCUCGCAAUUUUUCCAGACAAAAAAAAAAAAAAAAGCACGCUGGCAAUUUCUCAUUCCAUGCAUUAAUUUGGAAUCCCUUUACUGCUACAGUAACAUCCAGUCUUCUGGGAAUACAGCUAAAGCAGCGUUUCUCAACCAGAGUCCCUCCAGCUUUUGUAAAACUACAACUCCCAGCAUGCCUGGACAGUCUGUGGCUUGUCGUUUUGAAGAAGCUGUAGGCACUCUGUUUGGGGAAUACUAUACAAAAGCAUUAGACUACCUGUAUACCCUAGACUUUAAUUGGCACAACUUGGCCAUUCAAAACCCAUAGGAUCAUUCAUAUGAAAGGAUUGAGAUACAAACUGGACAGGCUAUACCUGAAAAUCACUUUUGACUGUCUUUAAAGAAAAUGACAGCACUGCAGAUCAAACUGUUGAUAGACAUAAAUCCGCUUUCGGCCAUUGUAAACAAUCAUUCAUACAUGAUUUACAGGUGAUGGACAACCAACAUGGUCAUUCUUCUCACUAUUAUCUUAGGGGUAUGUCCAGACUUAGUGAGCUUGGGCUCUGAUAUUUGGUGAUAUGAUUUAUCAUAAUCUGUCUAGAGGAAGAGUGGUGCAGUUGGCCAUAGCAACCAAUCAGAUUGCUUCUUUAAUUUUUCCCAGGCCUCUUUAAAAAUGAAAAAACUAUCUGAUUGGUUGCUAUGGGCAACUGCACCACAAUGAAUCUCCCCCAUUGUCUUGUUUGCAGUCCUUCCUCCAAUUUAACCCAAUGGCACAUGCUGUGGUUGAGGUCAGGCCUCUAUGCACAAUAUAUUCCAUAAGUAGCUCAUCCAGAUAUAUCAUUGCAGUGUGUGUCUUUAGCUGAUACUUGCCAUUGGGUAUGGUGACAACACACUUAUGUGUGCCUAUUCAGCCUUAAAACCCAAUCCUUAAAGGAGAACUACUGCAUAAAUCAGUCUAUCCCCUAUCCACAAGAUAAGGGAUAAGUAGCUGAUUGUGGGUUUUCCGAAUGCUGGAACCACCCACAUUCUCCGAGAAUGGACCCCAGGUCCCUCAUUGAGGAGCGUUUGUUGUCUACUGGUAGAUGUCUGCAGCAUUCAUUCCUCAUUAAGAGCCGGGUUCUGUUUUGGAGAUGGUGCAGGGUCCCAGCCGUCAGGCCAUGCACUACUUGUAGGGGAUAAGUUAAUUUUAACUGGAGUUCUCCUUUAGGACUCUCAAGGAAUAAAUGUUUACUGAUGCUCAGAAUUGCCUGUGGCUGACUUUGAUUGACCUAACAUGCUGCUUGUGGCUGAAAUGACUCACAAACAACAUGACAUAUCUGUAUUCUUCAGAAAAAGACCUGCAGAUGGAAUCUUUACCUGGAAUAUCUCCAGGAGGAGAUUCUGUACUGUGAUUGUACCCUUAUCGACACAGACAGGAGUACAAUGAAAGGUUACACCUGUGUAUAGAUAACAGAGGUACACACAAUAGGUGUUGCUCAGAUCAGUCUCCCCCUCCUUGUAGAAUGACCUCUGCUAAGGUCACAGAGCCUGCGUAGACACCUUUGGUCAGCUUCAGUCUAUUGUUGUCAAUGUGGCUUGCUGUAAAGCAUAUCUCCAAAAACUUAAAUUGACACCAUCAGAUUCAAAAACUUCUUACAUGUUGUACAUCUU